rnacentral:lncRNA from 1 species
AAGCAAUUUCGUUCUUUUUCUGUCAUGUGAACUUAAACGCAACAUUAAAUGCUUAAUCUUUGGAGCUUACCACUCAUAAAUAAAUAAAUCAUGUAACAUAAAUUUAUCUUGUUUAAUGUGCCUAAGGAUGGAGAAAAAUAAAUAAAGAAAUAGAUUUGGUUCUGUUGGUGUUUUUCCACCAACAGAGCCCAUGCACUUGAUCUCUGCCUUAGUUUGCAAACAGGACGACACAUCAAGCAAAGUUUAUUAAUUCUACAAGUGAAAGUUGUGUGAGCAUGCACACUGAGCAAGAUGCUGUCAGCUACUAUUAAAGCUCUACUUCUACCUGUUGGCCAAAUCAAAUAACAAAGGUGACAUCAUCAUCACUAGAGGUAUGCAACUAACAAGACCUCCAUCUCUCAAGAUGGAGAGAUACACAAGAGAGGAAGAAGAAGUCCAGUUCGAAGGACUAAAAACAUCGAACCUUCACCGUAAGAUAACAUCGGUAGUUAUCUAUAUCUACUUUCUUACAUUGUAUGAGUUAAUUUAUUUUUAGUAUUUUACUUUUCUAUAUUUGCAAUGCAAAGAAAUAACAAAAAUAAAUAGUCUUGCAUUAGGCCACACUCAUGCAUCUUAAAAAAAAUAUUGUGCUCCAUGUCAAACCAUAGUAGUGUAAAAGCUAUAGGAGUUCUCACUAUGGUGGCCUAUAGAUAAAAAAUCAUGCAUUUGCACUUUAUGCAUAUAAACUCAUAAAAUCCAAAACAUAUUAGAUGAUGAACCCACUAAGUAAGUGUCCUCCUCUAUCUAAGUCCUGUCGGUAGACUUUAAGUUCCAUACACUAGCCACACGGUUAGAAUGGUAGUUAUCUCAUUAAAUGCAUUUGCAAUUUAUUUAGUAGCAUAAUUUUAUUUACACACUAAAAAAUAUAAAAACAACAAAAAAUAUUUACUGCAUUACUCAUGGCAUCAUAAGCCCCAUGUGGAUGCCCUAUGGUAUUUUCCGAAGGAACAUCCAUUUUGGUGGCAUAAAAUAAAAAUGAAAAAACUAUAGCAUUUAAAUUCCUGCAUCAUAAAUAGAAAAUUCAAAAAAAAUAAGAGAAAAAUUGAAAUCCUGUUUAAGUUAGACAACAUUAAAACUAGCUCUUAAAGGUGAUCAACUACUCUUUGGCUGACCGCUAACUCAUUACUAAAUUUGAGCCUCGAGUUUUGGUUUUCUUUUUAGAGUGUAGUUAUGGAGGAACAACAUUAUGACAAGUAGAGAGUCUAUUAGUGGCACCCACCUGGAGCACUGCUGGUUAGCUCACAGUGAAGAUCAUCAACACCAACUAUUGCAAACAUCUAGCUUGGGGGAGGAGCAUCCCCUAGUUAUUAGGUAACUAUACCUAGCCGAUUAUCGAGUCUAUUUUAUAUAGUCAUAAAAUACCAAAAAUAUAUGGGCACAUGAAGAUUCAUGUCUUUAAGUCUUGUGAGUCCAAUAGAAAUAAAAAGAUGAAUAUUAAUUUAAAAUCAAAAACAAAAUACUUAUCUAUAUAUUAAGGUGUGAUCAUAGAGUGUGUCUACAAUCAGUCUAGUUUAGAGGCAGAAAAAAAUUAGAGAACAUUAAAAUUAUGUCUUGGAGAUGAUGAAUAGUUGCUCUACAGUAAUUCCUUUCAAGUUCCUAGUUUUCAACCAUGAAUUCUCCUAAUUUUUAGACAUGACUACUUUAAGAAUUUACUCUGAACUGAUAGGGAGGAUCUCUGGUGGAACUUCCCCUUAUUGUAGUAAUAGAUAUUACCUAUUCAGGGUUAGUGGCAAUAGGCAAUGUAAUAGCUAACUUUGUUAUCUUUGCUUCUAUCUUUUUAUUAAAUUUUAGUUGAUCAUUAAUGGCAUAGGAAAACUAUCCAUUUUAUCGAUUAUACUUUCAAGGUUUUAUCAUUUACAUCAAGCCUAGAUUCAAUGCUUAGGUUGAUUUAGAUUGCUUGUUGAUGGUGGAUAAGCUAUAAAAUCCACACAAGAAAACACCGUCAAUAAGCCGGCAAUAGUGGAAGAAUGGCAUAGCAUAGACAUCUUUUAUCACUAAUAGGUUCCACUUGUGCUCUAAGUAUUUGGAUGCAGGUAUACUCACAUUUGGGGGAAAAUGAGCUCCUGGACCCACCAAGGGCAGGUCGGCCGACCUACACUUGGGGUGGUCCAGGUGUUGGCUCAAUUCCAUGAUCCUAAGGCAACACAUUCAAGUCCAUCUCGACCCUCAGAUCACACUUGUGUUUCUGUUCAAGGGUGAAAGAUGGAGGUACAAGGAUCCAUGGACCCACCAGAAGAACUAGAGCAAAGAUGAACAUAAGACACACUCCAUGAUAGAUGGGGACAACAAUGGAGCAAGGCUAGUGGGCCCACCUCACCAAACCUCGAUCGACCGACCGGCCUUUGGUGGGACCACCUGUCAGCUCCACUCCACCGACCUCUAGGACCUUCUAGAAGGCUUAGGGUGGCCCCACCUCACAAAAUCUUAGGUCGACCGACCUAUGAUAUGGGCCCACCUAAGGUCGGUUACACUCCACCAACUUUGGCAAGAUGUGUAGAUGAUCUUGGACGUCCAUCUAAGGCGGUUUCAAUGAUGGUUUAUCAAAGCAUGGAAAAGUGGGAAGCACAUGGAUCGCUGACAUGGCACCCCACUACUCCCCCUAUAAAUAGACGCUGCAUCCACCCUCUCUAGUGUGUGUGUUCCAAUUUAGCUCUAGCUUUCUAGUGGUAAGUGUCAGUGUUAGUCUAGUGUGGGAGUGAGAGUUGAGUCGAGCAAAGCUCGGAGUCUCCUGAGUCGUCUUCUAGAGAGUCUGGUAUUCCUCUUUACCUUUUCUCUUGUAAGACUUUGAGUAUUUAAUAUAUUUACUUUUCCUUUUAUUUUCUAAGUAUUUACCUUCAGUAUUUACUUAGUGCAAUAUUCUAUUGUAGUGUCCUAGUGUGCCAUGUAGUAGUCAUAUACUAGCUAAGUUAGUCUUAAGUGCUUGGGUUGUUUUCUCUGCCGGUAACAUGGUGCCUGGACUAGGUCGUAUACUUAGUCUAAGUAGUAGGAGUUAGCAUAAGCGUGGUGCUUAGGCUAAAGCCUGCCCUUGAAUACCACCGUAUCAAACAUGAUAGUGGGUGGCGACGAAGCGUGAUAGACCUCUGCUUCUGAGUAGGUUCUAUUCACGUCGGGUACGGUCUGUAGGCGCCCAUAAGAAACGAGUCUACUUGGAUAGGAGUUUCGUUGUCCUAUUGCAGUCGACUUCUAGCAAACAAGCAGUUAAGUUUAGCAACAUUAGUGUGUGUCCGCUACUAGAUUAGAUUGGUUCACAGGAGUAAAGUUAGAGUCAUAGGAGUCUUUUGUUACUCAUUGUCAUCCCACCUAGCUACACUACACUAGUUAUCUUAGAGUUAUGCAGAACCACAUCAACCUUCCUCUACGUCUUCAUUACCUCACUACCUUAGUCGAUCCUAGCUGGGAUAGGAUUUCUCUUCCUUUUUAUCUCCUCUAGCACGCUUUCCCUUGGACGAACUAUAAAUUACGACACUGUGGAUACUCACCACGGUCGAAGUGCUACAUCGGUAUCUGUGCGCUUGCAGAGUUACCCCUAGUACAUCUUGCAUCAUCGCUAGUCCUUAGUGUUGCUUAGCAUUUUUGGAGCCAUUUCUUAGGGUAGCAUGACACCCUAUCCUAGUAACAGCUCAGGCUUGCAUUUAAGUAGUGCUGGUUAGGCUCCACCAUUUCUAGAUACUUGUCACAUCUUACUCUAGCCGGUGUGCGUUAAGAUUUUCCAACAAGCAUUUCUGGCACCGUUGCCGGGGAAAGCAUAGCCUAGAAAUUUGUAGCAGGACUGAAUCUAGUAAAACAUCAUCAACUUGGGAUCAACUAGUUGUAGGUAGUCUACCCCUGCCUGUGUUUCUCUUCAUUGUGAAACUAGGUAGUAUAUGAGUGAUUUCCAGUUCAAGGCAACCGCAUUAGCCGAUUUGGAGAGAUCUCGAAGGAAUUCUAGACUUUGUCUAGUCCACCAUCAGAGAUGCAGCCCACACCUGAACUCACUCAAGGAAGGAAGCUCAGCAAGAAUCAGGAUGUCGAUGGUCAACCAACCCAUCACCGACUUCUCAUAUCCCUCUGCGACCCAUAUCUCAUUGGGACCACAAGCGGAGAUUGGAGAUAUCGACUUUGAGAUCUAGCCAUUGCUAAUCCGUAUGGUGCAAGCUAGUACAUUUAGUGGGAAACCACAUGAGGAUGCAAACACGCACCUUCAGAACUUUCUAGAAGUGUGUAGCACCAUCGCUAUCAAAGGUGUCACAGCAGGAGCCAUCCGCCAUCGCUUAUUCCCAUUCUCUCUGCUUGGGAAAGCAAAGCAAUGGUUCUAUGCCCUCCCUAAUGAUGUUGACAAAUGGAGCAAGUGAGCUACAACAUUCCUCAAUAAGUUUUUCCCAAUGAGCAAAAAUCAGCUCUGCGGGCAAGAAUUUCCAACUUCCACCAAAAGGUAGAAGAGACCAUACCCGAAGCAUGGGAACGUCUCCAGUUGUACAUUUAGGAAUGUCCUCAUCAUGGAAUCAAGGAAUGGCUCCUGAUCCAAGGUUUCUACCAUGGGCAAACACUAGACGCCCGUAGUCACCUUGAUGCUGCUUUAAGAGGAUCAUUCACAUCCCUCAAUGUCGCACAAGCAAAGAAGCUCGUUGAGAACAUUGUGACAAAUCAAGAGUGGAAUGAUAAACAUCCUAAACCCAAGAAAAGAGGCACCCACACCAUUGAGGAGGUGAAAGCCAUCUCUCAAAAGAUGGAACUCUUGAUGAAGAAAAUAGAAGAAACAUCCAACUUGAAGAAAGAUCGAGAGGCCAUCCAACAAUACACCUCAGCACGUGCCGUUGAAGCAAUCCAAAGGUGUGAGGUUGUUGACAUUUGUUAAGUGCAAUAAGAAUAAGAAAAAUUCUGCAAGCGCACAGAACAUCAUCGUAGCAUUUUACCUGUAGUAUUCCAGGUAUUGUUAUUUAUAUUUUACCGCUGGGAAGCUAAGGUCAAAUAAUCUGAUAACUUACUAUCAUGGAUCUACUAAUUUAAUAAACCAACUAGACUAAAGUAGGGAUAAAUGAUAUAUGAUAGGUAACAAUAUAAAGCUGAGAAUUCUAUGAUAAAUGCGAAGAUAGCCACAGUGGGAGGACAACGGGAGAGACCUAGGUUCCUGUAUAUACUUCUCUAUUACAUCAGUUCUAUGAUAACAAAGAAUGAAUAGAUAUAGCAAUCACAUAUUAGCACUUUAGGACAUCAGAACACCAACCAUAGAAAGAGAACUGGAAGGGGGCUGGGAAGCUCUGAGUACGGUCCUACAAACAACAAUCCGAACGAGGUGGUAUACGUCGACCGUUAGGGCUGUCACUACCCUAGGGCUAUCACAACAAUCCGCAUGACUGGGUGCAACCUCAGGUAACCUCUAGUAUAGACACCACGUCUACACUAACGAUUACUACUCUAAUUACCAUGAAUAACUAGAGCACUCAAUGCGAACAGAGAUCCUAUGCCAAAAUAUAACGACUACACUACUCGAUAAUAAUAAAGGCAUAAAAGUAAAUAGAGAAGAUAAAUAUAUUAAAGCAUAAGUCUUACAAUAAAUAUAAAGACAUACCAAAACUCUGAAGACUUCUCUAGAAUUGAAGCGCAGCUCCACUCUCCCUAACUCCCGACUAGAACUAAUCUACUACAUUGGAAUGUCUAGCCCUAAUUCUCUAUAGAGGAAAGGUUAUCCUUCGAGGGCACCUCUCAACUCUAUAACGAUAAGUUCUCCUCCAGGGGCUAGGGGCCUUGCUUAUAUAGCCUCAUUCCUUUGUGCCUUUUUGGUUCAGCAGGCGAUGUGGUACUAAACCUUCCACCAUAUCUCAUUAAAAUGCACAUAGGCCUUAAUGGACCAAAAAUCUGAUUUGGGCCCAAUUAAUCCCGGAGCUCUUUUAUGUGGAGUCCUUCUUUUAUUAACAUCUCUUGAUUCCAAACUCCAAAUAUAGCAAAUAAUAUAUGCAUUUUGAUCAGCUCGACGAGAUCUUUGUAAUGGUGUACUCCAUUCUGUGAUUGGUGCUUGUACCAGGGCGGGCGCCCUGGUCCCAGCCCGUCUCGGCUCCGCUUCGGUCGAGUUGCUUCUAGAGUCUUCCUAAUUAUGGAAAAUUACCACACACAUUAAUUCUCUAUGUAAACCCGACGUGUGGGCCUUUCCUUCGUAUUUCCUGAUAACUCCCUGCAGAAAUAGACAAACACCAAAACUUGUGGAAAUCUGUCAGAUGAAACCCUAUGUCUAGGUGUCAGUUGCAUUUGGAUCCUGUUUCAUGAUUAGUUGACGGUUAAAUGUGAGCAUUAAGGACCGUCAACAAGCUCCCCCAUGUGGAUGCCCUAUGGUAUUUUCUGAAGGAACAUCCAUUAUGGUGGCAUAAGAUAAAUAUGAAAAAAUUAUAGCAUUUAAAUUCCUGCAUCAUAAAUAGAAAAUUCAAAAAAUAAGAGAAAAAUUGAAAUCCUGUUUAAAUUAGACAACAUUAAAACUAGCUCUUAAAGGUGAUCAAUUACUCUUUGGCUGACCGCUAACUCAUUACUAAAUUUGAGCCUCGAGUUUUGGUUUUCUUUUUAGAGUGUAAUUAUGCAGGAACAACAGUAUGACAAGAAGAUAGUCUAUUAGUGGCACCCACCUGGAGCACUGCUGGUUAGCUCACAGUGAAGAUCAUCAACACCAACUAUUGCAAACAUCUAGCUUGGGGGAGG